rnacentral:rRNA from 1 species
UCCAGACUCCUACGGGAGGCAGCAGUGGGGAAUAUUGCGCAAUGGACGAAAGUCUGACGCAGCGACGCCGCGUGCGGGAUGAAGGUUUUCGGAUCGUAAACCUCUUUCAGGAGGGCCGACCGCGCAUGGCGCCACUCAGCCAUGCGUUGACGGUACCUCCCCCGGAAGCGCCGGCUCACUCCGUGCCCGCCGCCGCGGUCCUCCGGAGGGCGCGCGCGUUAAUCGGAAUUACUGGGCGUAAAGCGCGCGUAGGCUGUUGUGGAAGUGGGGGGUGAAAUCCCACGGCUCAACCGGGGAACAGCCCUUGAUACUGCGCGACUUGAAUCCGGGAGAGGGUGGCGGAAUUCCAGGUGUAGGAGUGAAAUCCGUAGAUAUCUGGAGGAACAUCAGUGGCGAAGGCGGCCACCUGGACCGGUAUUGACGCUGAGGCGCGAAAGCGUGGGGAGCAAACAGGAUUAGAUACCCGGGUACA